UACGGGGGGAGCAAGCGUUGUUCGGAUUUACUGGGCGUAAAGGGCGCGUAGGCGGUCGUGACAAGUCACUUGUGAAAUCUCCGGGCUUAACUCGGAACGGUCAAGUGAUACUGUCGGACUAGAGUGCAGAAGGGGCAACUGGAAUUCUCGGUGUAGCGGUGAAAUGCGUAGAUAUCGAGAGGAACACCUGCGGCGAAGGCGGGUUGCUGGGCUGACACUGACGCUGAGGCGCGAAAGCCAGGGGAGCGAACGGG
rnacentral:rRNA from 1 species